rnacentral:rRNA from 1 species
AACAGCUCAAAUUUGAAAUCUGGCCUCCGCCGGGGUCCGAGUUGUAAUUUGUAGAGGCUGUUUCGGGUACGGCCCCGGUCUAAGUUCCUUGGAACAGGACGUCAUGGAGGGUGAGAAUCCCGUGUGUGACCGGGGACCACGCCCAUGUGAAACACCUUCGACGAGUCGAGUUGUUUGGGAAUGCAGCUCAAAAUGGGUGGUAAAUUUCAUCUAAAGCUAAAUACCGGCCAGAGACCGAUAGCGCACAAGUAGAGUGAUCGAAAGAUGAAAAGCACUUUGGAAAGAGAGUUAAAAAGCAUGUGAAAUUGUUGAAAGGGAAGCGGAAGCAACCAGACUCGCUGCCGGGUGCUCAACCGGGGUUCUCCCCGGGGCAUUCGCCCGGCCUCGGGCCAGCAUCGGUUCGGACGGCCGGACAAAGGCUCCGGGAAUGUAGCUCCCUCGCGGGGGAGUGUUAUAGCCCGGGGUGGAAUGUGGCCAGCCCGGACCGAGGAACGCGCGUUUCGCACGGAUGCUGGCGUAAUGGUUGUUCCCGGCCCGUCUUGAAACACGGACCAAGGAGUCUAACAUCUAUGCGAGUAUUUGGGUGUCAAACCCACAUGCGGAAUGAAAGUGAACGGAGGUGAGAGCUCGCACGGGCGCAUCAUCGACCGAUCCUGAUGUCUUCGGAUGGAUUUGAGUAAGAGCAUAGCUGUUGGGACCCGAAAGAUGGUGAACUAUGCCUAACUAGGGUGAAGCCAGAGGAAACUCUGGUGGAGGCUCGCAGCGGUUCUGACGUGCAAAUCGAUCGUCAAAGUUGGGUAUAGGGGCGAAAGACUAAUCGAACCAU